GAAAGGUAGGGUAAGGGGGAAACUUCCUGUUUGACCGCAGCUUGAGCACAGCUUAAGUCAUUUUGAUGCAUUUUUGAUGCAUUUUCUUAAGUUAUUUUUUGUAUGAAACUUGAGUUUAGAUUAGUGCACUAAUUUAUGCCAUGGCCAGAUCUUGUAGUUUGGCAUAGUAAUUGGUGUCAGGUUUGUGAGUUGCAUUCAUGUUGUUUGUGCAGUCUGUGCAUUUGUAUCAUGUUUUGAUCCCAUGUACUGAUUUUGUGUAGUGGACAGUACAAUGUGGAAUUAAAGUAGCAAAUAGUAAAGAAAUGCAUCUCAUGUGUUUAUUGGUGCACGCCAUCUGUGUCCUCAUGUUUAGCCUGCUGCAGCCGUUGGUUGGAAGAGCCGCAACAGAGAGAUCGUUCAAGAUCUGAACUAAUAAAAUGUCCUUUUGACUCCGCCUCUUUUAUUAAUGUGAAAUCAUUUCAGAGCAAUAUCAAGGACCUGGAAGGUGUAAAAGGUUGAUAACCUCCAAUCAAGCAAUAGUGUCUGUCUGUGGAAAACAACACUGGAAACGAACUCCAAAGAAUCCCCAUCAAACAAGGCAUACAGCUGCUGUUCCACAGAGGCCUGAAACUUUCAGAGGGCAACUCAUCAAAGUUUAGUUUAGAUGUCAGGCAGAAGAGGAUGAACUGAAAGAAGAAUCAGUUUGGUUUUUUUUAUAUUUACAAAAUUUGAUGAACAUUUGAGUCAGAGAUGAGGCCUUCUGCUUACAGCAGUGGGUUAAAGCACCUAAAGUCCACAGUCUGUUAACUGAUCACUGCAUAAACACUGAACAUAUGCAUAUAUAUUAAUAAAGGUUUACAAAAGAAAAAAGUCUAUAAAUUAUAAAUGAAAUCUUUUAUCUGUAUUAGUUCUACACUUCAUUUUGGCUGCGCCUCCCUGAG